rnacentral:rRNA from 1 species
ACUACGGGUGGCAGCAGUGAGGAAUAUUGGUCAAUGGGCGGAAGCCUGAACCAGCCAAGUAGCGUGCAGGAUGACGGCCCUACGGGUUGUAAACUGCUUUUAUACGGGAAUAACGCGCCUUACGUGUAGGGCUUUGCAUGUACCGUAUGAAUAAGGACCGGCUAAUUCCGUGCCAGCAGCCGCGGUAAUACGGAAGGUCCGGGCGUUACCCGGAUUUAUUGGGUUUAAAGGGAGCGUAGGCCGCAUGUCAAGCGUGCUGUGAAAUGUCCGGGCUCAACCCGGGCCUUGCAGCGCGAACUGGCGUGCUUGAGUCCGCGGAAGGCAGGCGGAAUUCGUCGUGUAGCGGUGAAAUGCUUAGAUAUGACGAAGAACCCCGAUUGCGAAGGCAGCUUGCUGCAGCGGAACUGACGCUGAUGCUCGAAAGCGCGGGUAUCGAACAGGAUUAGAUACCCCAGUAGUC